CACGUAGGGGGCAAGCGUUGUCCGGAUUUAUUGGGCGUAAAGAGCGUGUAGGCGGCUUUACAGGUCCGUUGUGAAAACUCGAGGCUCAACCUCGAGACGCCGGUGGAAACCGUAAAGCUAGAGUCCGGAAGAGGAGAGUGGAAUUCCUGGUGUAGCGGUGAAAUGCGCAGAUAUCAGGAAGAACACCCGUGGCGAAGGCGGCUCUCUGGGACGGUACUGACGCUGAGACGCGAAAGCGUGGGGAGCGAACAGG
rnacentral:rRNA from 1 species